CCUGACUGGCCAAAACAGCAUUUGGCCACAUGCCAAUCCAAUGAUUUCCCUAUUUUUCCUAUGGGAAUGCAUUGGCCAUUUUGAUGAUGUCACAAAGGGGGCGGAGCCAAUGUGAGUUUUAAACUUUUAUAGGCAGGCUAACGGGGGGCGGGGAGGGGCAAGCCACCUAAAUGGAAGUUUAGCACUAUAGUGUCAGGAAUACAUGUUUGUGUUCCUGACCCUAUAGUGAUCCUUUAAAUCACUAUUUAUACAGCCCUGGUCACACCUCCUUGCUUGUGACUGAGCUUUUCUAAAACACUUCCUGUAUAGAGUCAUCUAAUGUUUACACUUGCUUUAUCAUCCAUAUGAAUUGCCCAUUCUGUAUUAACUCAAUGUUUUCGUUACGGUGGUUCCUCCCUCCCCAUGAUCUACUUCGAGGUGUUGCUCUCCGCCCAU